rnacentral:rRNA from 1 species
UACGAAGGGGGCGAGCGUUGUUCGGAAUUACUGGGCGUAAAGGGCGCGUAGGCGGCGAGCCAAGUCCGAUGUGAAAGUCCUGGGCUUAACCUGGGGACUGCAUUUGAUACUGGGUUGCUUGAAUUCGGGAGAGGAUAGCGGAAUUCCCAGUGUAGAGGUGAAAUUCGUAGAUAUUCGUAAGAACACCAGUGGCGAAGGCGGCUCACUGGCCCGAUACUGACGCUGAGGUGCGAAAGCGUGGGGAGCAAACAGG